GAUGAACGCUGGCGGCGUGCCUAAUACAUGCAAGUCGAGCGAACUGAUUAGAAGCUUGCUUCUAUGACGUUAGCGGCGGACGGGUGAGUAACACGUGGGCAACCUGCCUGUAAGACUGGGAUAACUUCGGGAAACCGACGCUAAUACCGGAUAGGAUCUUCUCCUUCAUGGGAGAUGAUUGAAAGACGGGUUCGGCUACUACUUACAGAUGGGCCCGCGGUGCAUUAGCUAGUUGGUGAGGUAACGGCUCACCAAGGCAACGAUGCAUAGCCGACCUGAGAGGGUGAUCGGCCACACUGGGACUGAGACACGGCCCAGACUCCUACGGGAGGCAGCAGUAGGGAAUCUUCCGCAAUGGACGAAAGUCUGACAGAGCAACGCCGCGUGAGUGAUGAAGGCUUUCGGGUCGUAAAACUCUGUUGUUAGGGAAGAACAAGUACGAGAGUAACUGCUCGUACCUUGACGGUACCUAACCAGAAAGCCACGGCUAACUACGUGCCAGCCGCCGCGGUAAUAC
rnacentral:rRNA from 1 species